GACGAACGCUGGCGGCGUGCCUAAUACAUGCAAGUAGAACGCAGUUGCUACCGGGUGAGUAACGCGUAGGUAACCUGCCUUAUAUCGGGUGAUAACUAUUGGAAACGAUAGCUAAUACCGCAUACUGUGCUAUGGACCUGCGUUGUAUUAGCUAGUUGGUGAGGUGAAGGCUCACCAAGGCGACGAUACAUAGCCGACCUGAGAGGGUGAUCGGGCAACAUGGGACUGAGAAAAGGGCCAGAAUCCUAAGGGAGGGAGCAGGAGGGGAUCUUCGGAAAAGGACGGAAGUCUGACCGAGCAAAGGCGGGGGAGGGAAGAAGGGUUGCGGAACGUAAAGCUCUGUUGGUAGGUAAACGGUAACUAACCAGAAAGGGACGGCUAACUACGUGCCAGCAGCCGCGGUAAUUC
rnacentral:rRNA from 1 species